AGAGUUGACCUGGCUAGGACGAACGCUGGCGGCGUGCCUAACACAUGCAAGUCGAACGGACGAGGGGAGCUUGCUCCCCAAGUUAGUGGCGGACGGGUGAGUAACACGUGAGCAACCUGCCCUUCGGAGGGGGACAACAGCGGGAAACUGCUGCUAAUACCGCAUAAUGUAUUUUGGAGGCAUCUCCGGGAUACCAAAGAUUUUAUCGCCGAAGGAUGGGCUCGCGUCUGAUUAGAUAGUUGGUGGGGCAACGGCCCACCAAGUCUGCGAUCAGUAGCCGGACUGAGAGGUUGAACGGCCACAUUGGGACUGAGAUACGGCCCAGACUCCUACGGGAGGCAGCAGUGGGGAAUAUUGGGCAAUGGGGGCAAACCCCCUGACCCAGCAACGCCGCGUGGAGGAAGAAGGCUUUCGGGUUGUAAACUCCUUUGACGAGGGACGAUGAUGACGGUACCUCGAAAACAAGCCACGGCUAACUACGUGCCAGCAGCUGC
rnacentral:rRNA from 1 species